CUUUGCCUCCCUCGUUAUAUAUACGUUGUAUAUAAACUGGCUGGCAGUCGCCAAAAGCAGUCGUGUGCCUUAGUUUAGACUCUCCUGUCGAGCUUUUCGCGUCGUUGUCCUCUCUCGGCACGUACGUAACGAGUGCACACGUAGUACAGUCGGAUCUCUCGUAAGUGUGUGUGUGUGCUCGAGGGCCGAGCGCGACUUUAAGUCGUCGGAAUGUGGCCCGAAGAGAUGAGGUAAGACACAGUCGGGCUCCAUAAACGAGUUGGUCGGCCGCGAGCAAACACGAGGAUGACACCAAGUUUGGUGCGUUGCGUCGCCUACUACUUGGUGGCGAUAGGCCACUACUGCUACUACUGCCAGGCGAAGAUCAGCUCGAGGGAGGACAAUGUCCUGCACAUCGGUGGCAUCUUCCCGAUCGCUGGCGAGGGCGGCUGGCAAGGUGGUCAGGCGUGCAUGCCAGCGGCCAAUCUCGCCCUCGAGGACGUCAACAACGAAAAGAAUCUACUGCCGGGAUUCACCCUGAAGCUGCACUCGAACGACAGCGAGUGCGAGCCGGGACUGGGCGCCGCGGUCAUGUACAACCUGCUGUACAAUCCGCCGCAGAAGCUGAUGCUGCUCGCGGGCUGCAGCACCGUCUGCACGACCGUCGCCGAGGCGGCCAAGAUGUGGAACCUCGUGGUGCUGUGCUACGGGGCCUCGUCGCCGGCCCUCUCGGAUCGCAAUCGCUUCCCCACCCUCUUCCGGACGCAUCCCUCGGCCACCGUGCACAAUCCGACGAGGAUCAAGCUGCUGCAAAAGUUCGGCUGGUCCCGGGUCGCCAUACUCCAGCAGACCGAGGAGGUCUUUAUUUCGACAGUGGAGGACCUGGAGAACCGUUGCAAGGAGGCCGGCAUCGAGAUCGUGACGCGCCAGAGCUUCCUCACGGACCCGUCGGACGCGGUGCGCAAUCUGCGCCGUCAGGACGCGCGCAUCAUCGUCGGCCUGUUCUACGUGGUGGCCGCGCGCCGGGUGCUCUGCGAGAUCUACCUCAACGGCCUCUACGGCAAGUCCUACGUGUGGUUCUUCAUCGGCUGGUACGAGGACAACUGGUUCGAGGUGAAUCUCGACAAGGAGGGCAUCAGCUGCACCAAGGAGCAAAUGAGGCAGGCCGCAGAGGGCCAUCUGACGACCGAGGCCCUCAUGUGGAACCAGAACAACGACACGACCAUCAGCGGCAUGACCAGCGAGGACUUCAGGCAGCGCCUCAAUCGGGCUCUGAAGAAGGACGGCUACGACAUCGACAACAAUCGCUACCCCGAGGGCUAUCAGGAGGCGCCCUUGGCUUACGACGCCGUCUGGUCCGUCGCCUUGGCGUUUAAUAAGACCAUGGACCGGCUGAGCAAGCAGGGCAAGAGCCUGAAAAACUUUACCUACAACGACAAAGAGAUGGCCGACGAGAUAUACUCGGCCAUCAAUUCGACUCAGUUCAUCGGGGUCUCGGGCUACGUGGCGUUCAGCUCGCAAGGCGACCGCAUAGCCCUGACCCAGAUCGAGCAGGUGAUCGACGGCAAGUACGCCAAGCUCGGCUACUACGACACCCAGAUGGACAAUCUCACCUGGCACAACAUGGAGCGCUGGAUCGGCGGCAAGGUGCCCCAGGACCGUACCAUCGUCAAGAAGCUGCUGCGCACCGUCUCGCUGCCCCUCUUCAUCACCAUGUGCAGCUUCUCCACGCUCGGCAUCGUCGUCGCCCUCGGCCUGAUCCUGUUCAACGUCUGGAAUCGGCACAGGCGCGUCAUCGUCUCCUCGCAUCCGGUCUGCAACACCAUCAUGCUCUGCGGCACCAUCGCCUGCUUCAUCUCGGUCUUCCUGCUGGGCCUGGACGGCCGCUUCAUCAGCGCCGACGAGUACCCGAAGGUCUGCCAGGCUCGAGCCUGGGUACUCUCCGUCGGCUUCACCCUGGCCUUCGGCGCCAUGUUCAGCAAGGUCUGGCGCGUCCAUCGACUCAACACCAAGACCAAGGCCGACCACGCCAAGCUCUUCAUGUCCAAGCAGAAGAUAUCCUCGAUCCAGAAGAAGGUCCAGCCCUGGAAGCUGUACACGAUGGUGAGCGUGCUGCUGGCCAUCGACGUCAUCAUCCUCGGGGUCUGGCAGCUCGUCGACCCGCUCCAGCGCACCAUCGAGGUCUUUCCCCUGGAGAUGUCGACGGCUGGGGACGACGACGCCCGCAUCAGGCCCGAGCUCGAGCACUGCGAGAGCGAGAACAACAUGAUCUGGCUUGGCAUCAUUUACGCUUACAAGGGGGUAAUACUGGUGUUCGGUCUGUUCCUGGCCUACGAGACGCGCAGCAUCAAAGUGAAGCAGAUCAACGACUCGCGCUACGUCGGCAUGUCCAUCUACAACGUGGUGGUGCUCUGCCUCAUCACGGCCCCCGUCACGAUGGUCAUCGCCAGCCAGCAGGACGCCACCUUCGUCUUCUCCGCCCUGGCCAUCAUAUUCUGCUGCUUCCUCAGCAUGGCCCUCAUAUUCGUGCCCAAGGUCAUCGAGGUCAUCAGGCAUCCCAAGGACAAGGCCGAGUCCAAGUACAAUCCCGACAUCACCAUGUCCAAGGAGGACGAGGAAAAGUACCAGAAGAUCGUCAGCGAGAACGACGAGCUGCAAAAGCUCAUACAGCAGAAAGUGGAGAAAAUCCAAAAGAUCAAGGCCCAAUUGGCGGAGCUGGAAAAGGACGGGGGCGGCAGCAACAACGGCGGUGGCGGAAGUGGUAAAGAUUCGCUUAUCGUAGCCGACUACGUGACCGGCGAGGGAACGUCCGAUAGCGCCAUCGGUGGGGGUAUAUCCAUUUAUACGAGAUCCUCGCGCGCGUCCGGUUCCGACUUUGAGUUUUCCGAGUCUUAUCUCUAAGUGAAAAUUCAAAUCCAAAGAGGAGAAAUUAGCCGAAUUCCAAGCUGAACUUUAACAACCGAUUCUCACCUGCAACCAUUAGCAAUUCAUUGUGUAUAAGAGUAAAAUAACGUAUUUAUAAAUAGACGUCUAGUACAAAGUUUUGUGGGACCUACCAAGAGGCGCUACGACAGAUGGACAACGUGUACCUAAAUAUACAAAUAAUACUACAUAAAACACCUACAACUACUACUAAUCUAUCGCAUAUACAAAUGUUGUACGUUUAGAAGACGAUCGGCUUACGGAGAUCGCGCUAACAACGCCGCCGGCUGACAUUGGGAGAGUUGAGGUCACGUGAAAUUCGUGUACUAAAAGCUACACGAGCUCAGGCAGGCAAACGGAUGACAAAAAUAACGAUAUAAUCGGCCCCCGUUUGAAUCACGUGAUCGACCAACUAAAUACCAAACUCGCUCCUCUCUUUUUAUACAUCUGCAAAAAAAGUAAUCAAUAAUAUAAUUGCCGAAAUCUUAGAAGACUGGAUAGAAGAGGAAGAUACGAACAACAUCAAAGAAACGAAUCGAUAACGACGAAACAAUUAUGUGUACACGGGUGUGUGGUACCGAAAAAUAACUUCAAUUGUGCACUGCGAACGUUCAACUGCGAAUUCGUAUACAAUACAUUUAUAUAUGUGUUAGGAUUUAUAUUAUAUACAUAUUAUAUACGACAAAGUCCGUUUUUACGAGUUUAGAUAAAAAGGAAAAAAAAACCAAAUCUUUACUAUUAUCGAUAAAUAAAAUUGCCGAAUCUCUACAUAUAACGUAAACUCUACUGUACUGUGAUCUCUGUAAUUAAAAUUUUGUUUCGUGGAUGAUUAAUUUCCACGAAUGAAACACGAUUCUCAUUAAUCCAAAGUAAUUUUUCAAUAGGAAGCAGCACGGUAUUAUGCAAUUGUAGUAGCAAUUAUAUGAAUUCUAGAAUUCAACGAUGAUAAAGUCGAAAUGUUUAAAUGAUAAGAUACAAGAAAAAUAUGGUGCAGAAAAUGAUUUUUAACUCGACUCAUUUAUAACGAUCUGUGAACGUUACGUUACGUUUCUCGCGUCAAGUUGAAAAAUGUACAUAAAAAUAAUUAUUUUGCAAACUGUUUAAGUUUCAAUAUUGUAUAUAUGAAUAAUUAAAUAGAGGAUUUGUUAAAUUUUGUUGUUCCGAGAAAGAAGGGAACACCAUAAUUAUUUAUGCGCACACUGUCAAUACACAAAAUUUAGAUUACUAUACCAUCGUUAUAUGAUUUUAAAUAAUUUGUAAAUACGGUGUGCAAAGUUACGUUACACGAAGACGAUAAAAACUGUAUGAUAUACAAUAUUAUGUGAUGGAAGAAAGUAUAUUUAUGAAAAGUUAUUGUUUCAAUUUGUCCAAUACGCAAACAAAUCUGCAAUUCGAUUUAUAAUCCUAUUGUAGUAAAAAUUUCAGAAAAAAAGAUUAAACUGGAUAAGGAUUCAACUUAAUACAGAAAAAUAAUAACAUUAGUGGCAAUGCUAAACUGUGGCAGACGUACUUUAAGAUACGAUUUGAUUUGAUCGCGAAAAAGAGAAAAGAAGGAUGAAAAUAGUAAUUAAUACGCAAAUACAAGAGUUGACGUUGUUUUUUAAACGUUUUUAUUCAUUCGUCGUACUUUCAAUAAGUAUAAUAAAUGUUUUAUUUGAAA
rnacentral:misc_RNA from 1 species